rnacentral:lncRNA from 10 species
CGGCCACUGCGCAUGCUCCCCAGCUGGGCCGGCUGCGGACGCGGGAAGGGAGGUGGUGGCGACUGACGGAACUGGGUGAAGAUGGAGUCUCUGUCACCCAGGCUGGAGUGCAAUGGCGCAAUCUCGGCUCCCUGCAACUUCUGCCUCCCGGAUUCAAGCAAUUCUCCCGCCUCAGCCUCGCAAGUAGCUGGGAUUACAGGCACACACCACCAUGCCUGGCUAGUUUUUGUAUUUUUGUAGAGACAGGGUUUCGCUGUGUUGGCCAGGCUGGUCUUGAACUCUUGACCUCAGGUGAUCUGCCCACCUCGGCCUCCCAAAGUGCUGGGAUUCCAGGAGUGAGCCACUGCUCGUGGCCUGUAUUUUUUAUGGAAACAGAAAAGCCCAUCCUAAAGUUUACAGAAAAUCUCUCUCUCUCUCUCUGUCACUCUCUCUCUUUUUAUAAGACAUGGUGUCACUAUGUUGCCCAGGCUGGACUUGAACUCCUUGGCUCAAAUAAUCAUCUCACCUCAGCCUACUGAAUAGCUGGGAUUACAGGUGUGUACUACUCCACCUGUCUGUCAUAUGGAAUAUUAAGGAACCCUGAAUAGCUAAAAUAAUCUUGAAAAAGAAGACUAUAGUUGGAGGACUCACAGUUCCUGAUUUCAAAACUUACUACAAAGCCAUGGUAAUUAAACAGUGUGAUCUUGGCUUAAAGAUAGACAGAGAAACCAAUGGUAUAGAGAAGACAGCCAAGAAAUAAGCCACUGCAUAUAUCAUCAGUUGAUUUUUGACAAGGGCUCCAAAAAACCCUCUCCAGGGAAAGGGUAGUCUUAUUAAUGGUGCUGAGAAAACUGGAUAUCCACAUGCAAAAGAAUGAAGUUGGACUCUUCCGUUAUACCACAUACAAAAAUUGACUCAAAAUAAGUCAAAGACUUAAAUGUAAAAGCUAAAGCUAUAAAACUCGUAGAAGAAAACACAGGGGAAAACCUUCAUGACAUUGGAUUUGGCAGUAAUUUCUUGGAAAUGACACCAAAAGCACUGGCAAUAAAUGAAAAAAAUAGAUCAUUGAUGAAGAUGGUCAAGGAAUGCUAGUUCUGAUUUGGGAACAAACUCUGGACAUUACAGGCUGGCCUGAGCAGGGUGCUGACCCCAGCAAGCCCUAUGGGGCCACACAAGGGAGAUGGAAGGAGGAGUCUCAUAAAGGGCCAGGGAGAGGGACUGGGAAACCACUCUGGCUUUGCAGUUUUGCGUGGGCACCUCUUUGCAG